rnacentral:rRNA from 1 species
GAUGAACGCUAGCUGCAGGCUUAACACAUGCAAGUCGAGGGACAGGCGCACGGGUGAGUAACACGUAUCCAACCUGCCCUUUACUCGGGGAUAGCCUUUCGAAAGAAAGAUUAAUACCCGAUAUAAAGGAUGGGGAUGCGUUCCAUUAGGUUGUUGGUGAGGUAACGGCCCACCAAGCCUUCGAUGGAUAGGGGUUCUGAGAGGAAGGUCCCCCAGAUUUGAACUGAGACCCGUUCCAAACGCCUACGGGAGGCAGCAGUGGUGAAUAGUAGUCAAUGGGGCCUAGCCUGAACCAGCCAAGUAGCGUGAAGGAUGAAGGCUUAUGGAUCGUAAACUUCUUUUAUAUAAGAAUAUGUAUUAUAUGAAUAAGGAUCGGCUAACUCCGUGCCAGCAGCCGCGGUAAUUC